CUCACCUCACCUUUCUUUCUUUUUCUUCUUUUUCAUUUUCUGUCUCACACUCCUCUCCACUGCCUCACUCUCCCACCGGUAUCUCCAUACCACAUUUUCACCAUCAUUUUUCCGGCAAGAUCACUGGAAAAUCCUUAGUAACCUCUAAGCAUCUUCAUCCCUUUAAUUGAGAUUCUAGCUAAUCUCCUUGAAGCUUGGAGAAUUAGAAUUUUGCGGUUACGAGCCCUAUGCCAUGUGUGAUUUCCCGGUGAUCACCCGAUUUAGUUUCAGUAGUCUUUGUGACAACGGAAUCAAAUUCAGGUCAGUGUCCUUUCACUUUGGAUGACGCGUUCUUCCCUGCUGUCCAUGGGGGGAAGAGGUUCCUUGAUUGUGUGUGGGUGAGGCUGCUGCCCAUGGGGCCAAGAGACCACAUGCAAGAGAGGUCCUAUUUGACGCGCUCUCUCUGCUACCCAUUGGGGGAGAGAAAAACCUUAAGGGUAUGGGUGAGGCUGCUGUCCAUGGGGCCAAGAGUCUGCAUACCAGAGAGGACAAUAUUAUGCCAGUUGUGAAUGGGUGGAUCCCCUGACCGGUUUAUCUGGUAGUAUGGUAGAUUUGUGAUAAUUUAUCUUAUGCUAGAUAUUAUGGCCUUGGAAAUAAUAUUAUUGAUGCUCACAGAUUAUGGUGUAUAA